AAAUAUUUCUUUCUUUGUAAGAAGAAUCUUAUCUGAAACUAUUCAUUUGCAAAUUUCUUUACACAUCCUUUACAACCUUCUAUCUAUACAAAAAUCAUUUGCCAACUCUUCUAGAAGCCAUAAUAAAGGAGCGGCAAUAGUGAAAUUUCAUUGGCACAAAUGUCGUUGAUUUGUUCUUACAUGGCGAAAUCUCCUCCGUGAGCCGACUAACUGAAAAAAAGAGCCCAACAUUGAGAGAUAGACCUUUUGUAUUGCAUGACUUGGUGAAAGAUUUGCUAGUAGAAAAAAAUGGAGCAGAUUUAUAGAAUAGGUCUUAAAGGACUAUUGCAUGCCGAGAAAAUUAAUAAAGAACUUUAUGAAUGUAAUAUAUUUUUGUAUGAGGUUAUUACUGAUUAAGAAUUAAAAAUAUAAUGUGAAUACUUUAAGUAUAAUAUUUACAUUGUUAGUUAUAUAUAUAUAUAUAGUUGUUUUUCUAGUUACAUAUUAGCAUUUCAUGUGUUAGAUUUGUUAUUCAAGGUUCAAUACGUGCAGUUAAACAUAUUACAUGAUCAAUGAAAUUUACUUCACUAUAACUAAUAUGUACUUCAUUAUCAUUAAAAUGUACUACCUUUUGUUUUAGAUGUUUUAUACUAUUAGUGACGUGUAAUGCAUUUGUAAGACAAUAUCUGUGACUAUGCUCAAAAUAUAAUACAUUUCUAGUGAAA